rnacentral:lncRNA from 1 species
AUGGCAUACAGUGGCCAGGGCCAGAAAGUGCAGAAGGUUAUGGUGCAGCCCAUCAACCUCAUCUUCAGAUACUUACAAAAUAGAUCGCAGAUUCAGGUGUGGCUCUAUGAGCAAGUGAAUAUGCAGAUAGAAGGCUGUAUCAUUGGUUUUGAUGAGUAUAUGAACCUUGUAUUAGAUGAUGCAGAAGAGAUUCAUUCGAAAACAAAGUCAAGAAAACAACUGGGUCGGAUCAUGCUAAAAGGAGAUAAUAUUACUCUGCUACAAAGUGUCUCCAACUAG